AGUGUUUUGUAAACCACAGUGUUUUUGUUUAUUAUGCAAGAAAGACUCUCCCCUCCGUAGUGUGUUUUUAUGUUGUUAGGUUACCAGGUUAGGCUAACCAGACAUUUUUUCAAUACAGGUACAGUGUGUGGGCGGCCUGGCGUUCGAUAUCUCCUGACCACCCCUGCAUCCUGCAGCAAAGGUUACAGCGUGAUCUCCCCGCAAAUUGAUUAAAGGAAGGUCUCAGUCAGCCACAGCAGUGCAAACAAUCCAGCGCCCAUCAAUAGGAAAUAGUCAGGCAGGACCUGGCAAAUGAUUCGCUUCAGAGGCCGUGUAGGGUUGGUAUAAUUCUAAUCAUGUGCUCCGAAUCCCAAGCUUGGCUCCGGCUGCAAUUCUUCCCAAACACAAAGAAAAAAAAUCACGAAGCAUGAAGAAAACAACCCGAAUAUCCCCCACAGACCCCAUCACAUCUCUCACUUCCAGUGGAUAUGUAUGCUGUUAUUUACUCAUUCGAGUCUUGUGCUGUCGAAGACGUCUGUGUGCCUCAACCGGCUGAAAAACAGUGUGAAUGAGAUCGCAGCGUGCGGCAGACCGGCAUCAUCUACGCCAUAAAGUGCUCUCCUGCCUUCCUGUGCUCACGUCCCUGUUGUUUUCAUACUGAGAGAGGGAGCGAGUGAAGAGCUGUGGCUUCGGUCGGCCAGCAGAUGUUCAGUUCACUAAAGGAGACAGGACUAGACUGAGAAACAGGCUUUUGCUGUCCAACCCGAAUGACAAAUUUGAUGUCCUGGACGAGAGCCCACAAUUUGUUGAACAGAUUGCAGUGGUGCCAUUUUACACUAGCGUGAUUGGACACUGUGUAGAGUGAUUUUGUAAAGGACUGAUCCCAAGAACCGGUUUUGUGUUGUCUGUCAUGAUAGGACAGGCCAGUGAUUGGCUUACAUAAGCCUCAAAGCAGGCCGACAGCUCAAACGCAUUAGUCGUUGGAUGUAUUUUGUUUUCUUAUCUGAACCCAUGGGUGUUGUUAUCACAGGCUGGAGCCUCUGUCGUCUGUCACUUACCUGUGGUGGAUUAUCUUCAGGCUAAUCAGAGGCGGGGGAUUGACUGAAAAUGAUUCAAUCAGAUGUCUGGAUUAAACCAUCUUCAUUCACCCGAGGCAGGAAUCAUGCUUUAAGUACAAACACUCCCCCACAACAGUUUUUAUUCCACAAGCCGGCUGUGAUUUUAUACAAGCGCUGGCCUUUGUGUUCUUACCAGAAAGCAACCCAGCAUCAAUGCAUCCUGGAUUUUUGGAUAGACGUUUCAUUGAGGCUACUGUAGAAGACAUACAUUGAAAAUUUUGCCGAUACAUUUUAGUGUGUCCCCUCAAACAAGAACCACUGUGUUGCAUUUUUCAAGUAUUUCUGUAUUUGUAUGCCAUUUUUAUUCAAAUAUAGAUGACAUAAUUUCAUCAGUGUGAGAACAAAAUCUAAUUGAUUUAAUGUGGAGAUAAGAGGGCUUCAGAAUUGGCUUUCAGAUGCAAUUGAAUGUUCCGCUUUUCUAGCAUGUUUAAUUCAUAGGUGGGAGGCGCUUCUUUGUUGGCAUUUAUAAAUUGAUGUCGAUAGCCCUUGUGGCCAGCCAUGCAUUGCACUCUCAUGAUAUUUGGUCAUUUCAACAUGUUAAUAUGUGUUAGCAAAUACAAAAUUAGUAAUGGAUGCCUCUAUUUUUGAGAUGCAAUAA